rnacentral:rRNA from 1 species
AGAGUUUGAUCAUGGCUCAGAGCGAACGCUGGCGGCGUGCUUAACACAUGCAAGUCGAGUGCGCGUUUCCGUAGCAAUACGGAAAUGGCGCACGGCGCACGGGUGCGUAACACGUGGGUAAUCUGCCCUCUGAUGGGGAAUAACCCGCCGAAAGGCGGGCUAAUACCGCAUAACAUUCCUUGGACUCCGGUUCGAGGAUCCAAAGGCGUAAGUCGUCGGAGGUGGAGCCCGCGCACGAUUAGCUAGUUGGUAGGGUAAUGGCCUACCAAGGCUAUGAUCGUUAGCUGGUCUGAGAGGAUGGCCAGCCACACUGGAACUGAGACACGGUCCAGACUCCUACGGGAGGCAGCAGUGGGGAAUCUUGCACAAUGGGCGAAAGCCUGAUGCAGCGACGCCGCGUGGGGGAUGAAGCUUUUCGGAGUGUAAACCCCUUUCGACCGGGACGAAUACCUCGCAAGAGGGGUGACGGUACCGGUAUAAGAAGCCCCGGCUAACUACGUGCCAGCAGCCGCGGUAAGACGUAGGGGGCCAGCGUUGCUCGGAAUUACUGGGUGUAAAGGGUUCGUAGGCGGUGUGGCAAGUCGGGAGUGAAAUCUCUGGGCUCAACUCAAGGGCUGCUUCCGAAACUGCCGUGCUAGAGUGUGGGAGAGGCGCGUGGAAUUGCAGGUGUAGCGGUGAAAUGCGUAGAUAUCUGCAGGAACACCCGUGGCGAAAGCGGCGCGCUGGACCACUACUGACGCUGAGGAACGAAAGCUAGGGGAGCAAACAGGAUUAGAUACCCCCGUAGUCC